UACGGAGGGUGCGAGCGUUAUCCGGAAUCACUGGGUUUAAAGGGUGCGUAGGCGGUCUGAUAAGUCAGUUGUGAAAUUCCCCGGCUUAACCGGGCGGACUGCGAUUGAUACUGUCGGACUUGAAUCAGGUUGAGGUAGGCGGAAUGUGACAUGUAGCGGUGAAAUGCUUAGAUAUGUCAUAGAACACCGAUUGCGAAGGCAGCUUGCUGGGCUUCGAUUGACGCUGAGGCACGAAAGCGUGGGGAGCAAACAGG
rnacentral:rRNA from 1 species